GGCAGGUCCUGGGGAGACUCCAGGUUGGCGGGUCCUGGGGCGGGGCCAGGAUAAGGCGAUCCUGGGAGCGGGGCUUCGGAAGCGUCCAGAUAGGGUCUCUCUCUCUGCCACCCAGGCCAGAGUGUAGUUGAUGCAGGGCAGCGGAGCCCCGAAGUGGAGCAUCGUGUGUCCGGAACUGGUGGGUUCUUGGUCUCACUGACUUCAAGAAUGAAGCCGCAGACCCUUGUGGAGUCCUGGGGGAAAAGCAGAUGUGGUUUCCAAUCCCACUUUCCAGAAGAGGAGACUGAGGCAGAGGCUUUGCAGAUACACAGAGGACAUGUGAGGACAGGUGAAGGUCAUGAUCAUUGUCAGUCCCCUCCCUCAACUUGACAUUCCCAGAUCUGGUGGACUUCCAGCCAGAGGAGACAGAAGGACUGGAUCACUCAACUCUGCCAUGGGUGCCGGGACCCAAUUUUUCCCUGGCAACUCAGUCACAUCCUGUCUGGGAUCUCCAACUACUACCCUCCCACAAGUCUCAGCUAAAACAGCAAUUCAAUGCGGAACUUUUUUCUGAGGCUCCAGGAUUGGGCCAGGCCCUCUCCAUGGCUCUCUGCACUUCCCCUACUGCAGAACUUAGCACCCGUAUGUCACUACUUGUUCAAACAUGUGUCUUUUGUAUGCUCUCCACGUUAUCUGCAGCA